UACGGAGGAUGCGAGCGUUAUCCGGAUUUAUUGGGUUUAAAGGGUGCGCAGGCGGACUGUUAAGUCAGCGGUAAAAUGUCGGUGCUCAACACCGGCCGGCCGUUGAAACUGGCAGCCUUGAGUGAGCGAGAAGUAUGCGGAAUGCGUGGUGUAGCGGUGAAAUGCAUAGAUAUCACGCAGAACUCCGAUUGCGAAGGCAGCUUACCAGACUGAGUCUGACGCUGAUGCACGAGAGCAUGGGUAGCGAACAGG
rnacentral:rRNA from 1 species